CCUACGGGGGGCAGCAGUGGGGAAUAUUGCGCAAUGGGCGAAAGCCUGACGCAGCGACGCCGCGUGAGGGAUGAAGGUCUUCGGAUCGUAAACCUCUGUCAGCAGGGAAGAACGGUCACUGUGCUAAUCAGCAGUGAAUUGACGGUACCUGCAAAGGAAGCACCGGCUAACUCCGUGCCAGCAGCCGCGGUAAUACGGAGGGCGCGAGCGUUAAUCGGAAUUACUGGGCGUAAAGCGCGCGUAGGCUGUUGUGUAAGUUGGGGGUGAAAUCCCACGGCUCAACCGUGGAACAGCCCUUGGUAAUGCGCGACUUGAAUCCGGGAGAGGGUGGCAGAAUUCCAGGUGUAGGAGUGAAAUCCGUAGAUAUCUGGAGGAACAUCAGUGGCGAAGGCGGCCACCUGGACCGGUAUUGACGCUGAGGCGCGAAAGCGUGGGGAGCAAACAGGAUUAGAUACCCCUGUAGUC
rnacentral:rRNA from 1 species